rnacentral:rRNA from 1 species
GUCCACGCCGUAAACGAUGGGUGCUAGGUGUGGGAGGUGUCGACUCCUUCCGUGCCGUAGCUAACGCAUUAAGCACCCCGCCUGGGGAGUACGGCCGCAAGGCUAAAACUCAAAGGAAUUGACGGGGCCCCGCACAAGCAGCGGAGCAUGUGGUUUAAUUCGAUGCAACGCGAAGAACCUUACCAGGGCUUGACAUGCACUGGAAAUCCGUAGAAAUACGGCCCUCCUUCGGGACCAGUGCACAGGUGGUGCAUGGCUGUCGU